AACCAGCACCUCAAGUGGUCAGGAUGAUUAUUGGGCCUAAAGCAUCCGUAGCCUGUUCUGUAAGUUUUCGGUUAAAUCUAUGCGCUCAACGUAUAGGCUGCCGAAAAUACUGCAGAACUAGGGAGUGGGAGAGGUAGACGGUACUCGGUAGGAAGGGGUAAAAUCCUUUGAUCUAUUGAUGACCACCUGUGGCGAAGGCGGUCUACCAGAACACGUUCGACGGUGAGGGAUGAAAGCUGGGGGAGCAAACAGG
rnacentral:rRNA from 1 species